rnacentral:rRNA from 1 species
AACGAACGCUGGCGGCAUGCCUAACACAUGCAAGUCGAACGCGUGUAGCGAUACACGAGUGGCGGACGGGUGAGUAACGCGUGGGAACCUGCCCAAUGGUAGGGAAUAACUGCGGGAAACUGCAGCUAAUACCCUAUGCUCCCUACGGGGGAAAGAUUCAUCGCCAUUGGAGGGGCCCGCGUCGGAUUAGCUAGUUGGCGGGGUAAUGGCCCACCAAGGCUACGAUCCGUAGCUGGUCUGAGAGGAUGAUCAGCCACACCGGGACUGAGAUACGGCCCAGACUCCUACGGGAGGCAGCAGUGGGGAAUAUUGGACAAUGGGGGAAACCCUGAUCCAGCAAUGCCGCGUGAGUGAAGAAGGCC